AUAAGAUUGUAGUAUCGCAUGAUAUAGCAAUUAAAGGAGCAAUCCGCUAUAAGAUGGACCCGCGUCGCAUUAGCUAGUUGGUGAGGUAAUGGCUCACCAAGGCGACGAUGCGUAGCCGACCUGAGAGGGUGGUCGGCCACAUUGGGACUGAGACACGGCCCAGACUCCUACGGGAGGCAGCAUG
rnacentral:rRNA from 1 species